AGCGAACGCUGGCGGCAGGCUUAACACAUGCAAGUCGAGCGGGCGUAGCAAUACGUCAGCGGCAGACGGGUGAGUAACACGUGGGAACGUACCUUUUGGUUCGGAACAACACAGGGAAACUUGUGCUAAUACCGAAUAAGCCCUUACGGGGAAAGAUUUAUCGCCGAAAGAUCGGCCCGCGUCUGAUUAGCUUGUUGGUGAGGUAACGGCUCACCAAGGCGACGAUCAGUAGCUGGUCGAGAGGAUGAUCAGCCACACUGGGACUGAGACACGGCCCAGACUCCUACGGGAGGCAGCAGUGGGGAAUAUUGGACAAUGGGGGCAACCCUGAUCCAGCCAUGCCGCGUGAGUGAUGAAGGCCCUAGGGUUGUAAAGCUCUUUUGUGCGGGAAGAUAAUGACGGUACCGCAAGAAUAAGCCCCGGCUAACUUCGUGCCAGCAGCCGC
rnacentral:rRNA from 1 species